UACGUAGGUGACCAGCGUUGUCCGGAUUUCCUGGGCGUAAAGAGCGCGCAGGCGGUCGUUCAAGUCGAGUGUGAAAGCCCCCGGCUCAACUGGGGAGGGUCACUUGAUACUGAUCGACUCGAAGGCAGGAGAGGGAAGCGGAAUUCCCGGUGUAGUGGUGAAAUGCGUAGAUAUCGGGAGGAACACCAGUGGCGAAGGCGGCUUCCUGGCCUGUUCUUGACGCUGAGGCGCGAAAGCUAGGGGAGCAAACGGG
rnacentral:rRNA from 1 species